GGAUGUGAGGGUGAUCUGGCUGCGACAUCUGUCACCCCAUUGAUCGUCAGGGUAGAUUCGGCUGAUCUGGCUGGCUAGGCAGGUGUCCCCUUCCUCCCUCACCGCUCCAUGUGCGUCCCUCCUGAAGCUGCGCUGGGCUCUUGAUCUAAGAGGACGGCCUUCCCCGAAUAGAGAUGGACCGGUCUUCAGUCCAGGGUACACGAGUAUCUGUGCUCCCCUGCUAGAACCUCCAAACAAGCUCUCAAGAAUAAUAUAAAUGGGAUUGAUUUUCCAUAAACAUCUACUUCUAUCCAAUGGCAGUAUGUACUGCUAAGAAAUCUUU
ensembl:misc_RNA 7SK 7SK RNA